GCCCUCNGCGUACUGCUCAGUAACACGUGGAUAACCUGCCCUAAGGAAGGGGAUACCCCCGGGAAACUGGGGAUAAUACCCUAUAGGUUACAGAUGCUGGAAUGCUCUGUAACCGAAAGUUCCGGCGCCUUAGGAUGGAUCUGCGGCCGAUUAGGUUGUUGUCGGGGUAACGGCCCAACAAGCCAGUAAUCGGUACGGGUUGUGGGAGCAAGAGCCCGGAGUUGGAUUCUGAGACACGAAUCCAGGCCCUACGGGGCGCAGCAGGCGCGAAAACUUUACAAUGCGGGCAACCGUGAUAAGGGAACCUCGAGUGCCUGUAUAUGCAGGCUGUCUGGGUGUCUAAAACACACCUAAAGAAAGGGCCGGGCAAGACCGGUGCCAGCCGCCGCGGUAAUACCGGCGGCUCGAGUGGUGGCCACUUUUAUUGGGCUUAAAGCGUUCGUAGCUGGGUUAUUAAGUCCCUUGGGAAAUCCGACGGCUUAACCGUCNGGCGUCUAAGGGAUACUGGCAAUCUUGGAACCGGGAGAGGUGAGGGGUACUUCGGGGGUAGGAGUGAAAUCCUGUAAUCCUCGAGGGACCACCUGUGGCGAAGGCGCCUCACCAGAACGGCUUCGACAGUGAGGGACGAAAGCUGGGGGAGCAAACCGGAUUAGAUACCCGGGUAGUCCCAGCCGUAAACGAUGUGCGUUAGGUGUAUCGGUGACCACGAGUCACCGAGGUGCCGAAGGGAAACCGUGAAACGUACCGCGNUGGGAAGUACGGUCGCUAAGG
rnacentral:rRNA from 1 species